AUGCCCCAACUAGACACAUCCAUGUGACUCAUUACUAUUUUAUCCAUAAUCAUAACUCUAUUCGUCAUUUUUCAAUUAAAAGUCUCAAGUUUUAUUUACCCUUUGAAUCCCACACCAAAAGCAAUUAAGAUGCAAAAACACUCAACACCUUGAGAAUUAAAAUAAAUGAAAAUUUAUUUGCCUCGUUCAUUACCCCAAUAA
rnacentral:lncRNA from 1 species